UUAACUCAAAUUUGUAUGCAGUUGGAAUGUUUCCCUAGGUUUGCCGCUAGGGGCGCUGUUUCAACUGUUUAUCAAAUUUGAGUUA
rnacentral:pre_miRNA from 1 species